rnacentral:rRNA from 1 species
UACGAAGGGGGCUAGCGUUGUUCGGAAUUACUGGGCGUAAAGCGCACGUAGGCGGACAUUUAAGUUGGAGGUGAAAGCCUUGGGCUCAACCCAAGAAUUGCCUUUGAUACUGGAUGUCUCGAGACCGGGAGAGGUGAGUGGAAUUCCAGGUGUAGCGGUGAAAUGCGUAGAUAUCUGGAGGAACACCGGUGGCGAAGGCGGCAUCCUGGACCGGUAUUGACGCUGAGGCGCGAAAGCCAGGGGAGCAAACGGG